CGACGAAUCGGUUCCCGAGGACCUCAUUCUCGAUGGCCGGCUGGGAGCCGGCGCGGGGCCGCCGAAGCAGCGCCAGGCCGAGAACCGUGCCAGGACCGGCGGGGAGGUCAGCG
rnacentral:SRP_RNA from 13 species